AUCUACAGCCAUACCGCCCUGAACACGCCCAAUCUCGUCUGCUUUCAGAAGCUAAGCAGCGUUGGGCCUUGUUAGUACUUGGAUGGAAGACAGAUCUUCAGAAGAGAUUGUUCAGAGACAAGCAAUUUGAAGACA
rnacentral:rRNA from 1 species